GGGGGGGGGGAAGGGGAGGACGCUCUCGGUCUCCUAGUCCCGGCCCGAGCCUCUGGAGUUAGCCAUGCUCAUACCCCGGCGCGGGAAAGCGGCACCCCAGUGCGGGUAGCUUUAGCCCCGGAAAUGGGUUGAGAAUUAGACACCGAGCCGACGCCCACAUACGUAGCAGCGUUGCAGCCCGGGAGGGUGGGCGGUACCCCCAGGUCGGUCAUCCGCGGGUGGGCGCCGGGCGCCGACCCCCUUCGCCAUCACCAGCCCCGGAGUGGCGACUGCAGAGGUUCAUCCCGCUACCGGGAAGCGGGGACCACAUCUUCCUUUGGGGAUGGUGGUCUGUGCCGGGUCUUAGUUGCAACACGCAGGAUCUUCGUCGCGGCAUGCAUGCAGGAUCUAGUUCCCCAACGAGGGAUUGAACCAGGGCCGCUGCAUUGAGAGCUCGGAGUCUUGCCCACUGGACCACCAGGCAACUGGGUGCGAGCUGCAUUGUCUCAGUGGCUUUCCAAAGGAGACUGACGGACCUACUCCAUAAAUACUGACUGGAAGCCAGAUUACCAGUUAUCAUUAUCACUAUAGAAAAAGAGUGGCAGGGAGGCAUGGAGCCAACUGGACUGUGAGCCUGUGAAACUGUUGCAGGAAAGAAAGUGGGGUGCAAGAGGAUGACCACAUCCCAGGUCUCAGGCAAGUCCCUGGAUGGGUGCCAAGUGUGGGUUCUUGGCUUUGUGCAGGAAAGAAUUCAAGAGUGAGCCAUAGUAAAGUGAAAGAAGGUUUAUUCAGGGAAAUACACACUCCAUAGACAGAGUGUGGGCCAUCUCAGAAGGCGAGAGGCCCCAGGAUACAGGAUUGUCAGUUUUUAUAGUGGUGGGUAAUUUCAUAGGCUAAUGAGUGGGAUGAUUUUUCCAACAAUUUGGGGGAAGCGGCGGAGAUUUCCAGGAAUUGGGCCACCGCCCUCUUUUUGGCCUUUUAUGGUGGGCCUUGGAACUGUCAUGGCACUGGUGGGUGUGUCAUUUAGAUGCUAAUGUAUUACAACGAGCACAUAAGCAGGCUCAAGGUCUAGUGGAAGUCGACUCAUCCACCAUCUUGGACCUAGUUGGUUCUAAACAGUUUAUAUUGUGUCCUCAACAGCUGUGUCAUUCUUUUAAAGGUUGUGCCCUGCCCCCUUCCUGUCUUAAAAUGUUGGUCCUGUUAUUUGAAAUACUCACCUGUCUCUAGAUCAGAGACCAACAUUUUUAUUCGGCAUCACUUCCAAGUAAUUAGGAUAGUCCAUUAAACAUAUCCUAAGAACCUUUUAUUUCCAAGGAUUAAAUGAGUCUGAUUUGACUGUUUAGUAGAGGUCUUGAUAACUGUACAGAGUAUUGACAAAAACAGUUGGGAAAGGUGAAGGUAAUAGAAAUUUAUCUCUUUCUUUUACUGAGAAGUAAGGAAAAGAGUAUUUAUUGAGUAUCUAGAUUGUACCAGUAGCUCUUUUAGAUGAGCUCAUUUAUGCACUGAAUUUUCAGAGUUAUAAUUACCAUGCUACCUGCCAAGAAACCACGGCUCAGAAAAAAUAGAUGACUUACUCAAGGUCACACAGCUAGUGAAAGUAAACUACAGAGUCUGGAUUCAACCCAGACCUUUCUAAUUCUUUUCUUUUUAAUAUAAAUUUAUUUUUAUUUAUAUUAUUUAUUUUUGGCUGCAUUGGGUCUUCGUUGCUGCUCACGGGCUUUCUCUAGUUGUGGCGAGCAGGGGCUACUCUUCAUUGCA